GUGGGGAAUAUUGGGCAAUGGGGGAAACCCUGACCCAGCAACGCCGCGUGAAGGAAGAAGGUUUUCGGAUCGUAAACUUCUAUCCUUGGUGAAGAUAAUGACGGUAGCCAAGAAGGAAGCCCCGGCUAACUACGUGCCAGCAGCCGCGGUAAUACGUAGGGGGCAAGCGUUGUCCGGAAUGAUUGGGCGUAAAGGGCGCGUAGGCGGCCUGGUAAGUCUGGAGUGAAAGUACUGCUUUUAAGGUGGGAAUUGCUUUGGAUACUGUCGGGCGUGAGUGCAGGAGAGGUAAGCGGAAUUCCCGGUGUAGCGGUGAAAUGCGUAGAGAUCGGGAGGAACACCAGUGGCGAAGGCGGCUUACUGGACUGUAACUGACGCUGAGGCGCGAAAGUGUGGGGAGCAAACAGGAUUAGAAACCCCAGUAGUCC
rnacentral:rRNA from 1 species